GUCCCUGUAGCUUAAUGACAAAGCAUAGCACUGAAGAUGCUAAGAUGUUACCACACGUACCCAGAGACAA
rnacentral:tRNA from 1 species